GCCCCGACGCCAUCUCGGCGCGGCCCCUGCCGAGCUCCGCCCCUGCUAGGUCAGAUUUUCCGCUUGAUCUUUUUGGUGUCAGAGUUAAUUAGGAAGAUAGAAGAAAAUCGCUACAUGCAUGGUGAUGCUUGCCGACUGCGAAUUCGAAAUUGCAGGCCACAUUGCAUUUGUAGUACACGCGUACUACGUACUGGAUAGUAACGAAGUUAGAAGUACCCGUACUCAUCAUAUGUGGGAGAUGAGACUUUUUCUGCUUUACCAUGCAUGAGCUAGCAGGCUCCGUCAUUGCUCAGUGUCUCUCAUAUACUUAUUAGGCUUUACUUCUGCAGGUUAGCUAGCUAGCUGCUCCCUAGAUCAUGGAAGAUUUAUUUGCUGAUAAUUAUCUAUCGAUUCCCUUUGGUUAAUUAGUAAAAUCCAGUCUCCAAUGCCUUGUCAGAAAGAAAUGCAGUAUAUGAAACAAAUAUAGCUCUUUAAAGAUUUAGUACUCUAGUAAACAUGGGAUCAAGAUCAUACUUUAAUAUAGUAAUCAGAGACUCGCUACUGUGCUCCAUCAUUUUGCAUUGCUAAGCUUAAGCAGACUGUUUAUCCUUCAGUUUCUUUUGGGAGAUGCUUUUGAUUUUUCAGGAGUCAAGAUUUAUGACAAAUGCAUGCUGGUUUUUGAACUUGAAACUUCCAGUACCUUUUUAAUGUAAUUAUGGCUCUUCUGGUUCUCACAUUACUUUUUAGUAAAGGGAAAGAACAAUGUUAUUAUUAGCAGGGUGAUUAUUUAUUUAUAUUCAUGAGUUUUCAAAUCAUCUAAGUAACAUUAAAUAGGUAGAUAUGGAGCUGUAAGUUUGACUUAUACAUAGCUAGAAUUUUAGUAUGUGUAGUCUGAUAAUACUUUGGACACCACUGCAUUUGUUAACAAAAUAUAACAAUACUUGGCUGUUUACUUCCAUGGCUCAAACUUUGAUCAACAAAAAUAACUUUUGUUAAUUAGAUUGGGACAAGGAGGAGAGAGGAGGACGACGAGAAGAAGGAGGCCACGCCGCGCACGCCGUCGAGCCCAUAGACCAGUCCCUGCACUUAAAAGGAGAUUAAAUGGCAAAAGGAGGCAGCAAAUACAUGGAGGAGGAUUGAACAGGGAAAUCUUUUCUGCCUUUUUUCAGGGCUAGGCCAAAUCCACCCUGUAUCUUGCAGGCUUUAAUAGUGUGACUCUGCGUGUGGGCGUUUAAAGCAGGUCCUGUACACCAUAGAUUCAUGGUUAAAAAUAAAAAAAACGAAAUCAAGCCACUGUUAUCUCAACAUAAUGUCGUUACCUAUCUACGAUGUUUCACUUGUUAUUUCACAUUUAGAAAGUUUAUUAGGAUUAUUAUUCGUCUAAUGAAACAAUCAUACACAUACUAGUGCGUUUGAAGAAGUCAUGGCACCAUAUGUCCACAUGACCAGAUCUCAAUUACUGAAAAAAAUAAAGACUCUUCAUUUCAAGGAAGUUAUCAGAUAUUUGUACAAGAGAUGACAAUGCAAGGAGCAUCGACUAACGUGUCAAGCUACCAUUCAUGCAUGCGGGAAACUAAAGAGCAAGCAAUGCAAGGAGAAGAAGAUGCUGGUGAGUGACAGCGGAACAUUAGGCGAAAAGCUAAGCAGCACCAAUGCAAGCUGCCCAUUUCCGCACCAAUGAGCAGCUAGCGUCCAAUAAUGUUCAGGAGAAAGAGCCUGAACCUGGGUGACACUUGGCUGUCAUGGGCUCACGUCCGGGCUCUGUAGAGGGUGGAUCGAUGGGGAUUCAUCCGUGGCAGGAAAAGGAAAGAAAGCUGCUGCCGAGCGAGCUCGGUCACGAAGGAUAAGGACCAGACGGCGCCAUGGCCGUGGAGCUCCGCCCUCUGUGGCUGCUGGUGGCUGGAAAGGGACGGGGGGAGAGACGCGGCCAGCCGGCCCGGCGGGGCCUAAUGAUUUGAGUGAUCCCGGCGCGCCAAUGGAAAGCAGCAAAGGUGGCGAGCGCUUUGGAGAAAGAGAGAGGAAAAGGUGAUGAGAGGGCGAGCAGCGAGGAGCUUAGUUGGAUGGAGGACGCCUGCCUUUUCCCCGAUGGUGUUUUGGUAAAGUGAAACGCUGGAUUUGGUCCACUGAACUGCUGGUGUGCCUUUGGUGUAAAUCACUGAAUGUAAUGUACCUGAUUCAGUCAGCAUUAUUAUUCAGGCCCAGCAGGGCUUAGCGUGUUGUGUGCAGUGGCUUCAUUCAUCGGUGAAAACUAGAAUCAGGUACACCUGGUGCUCGUUGAGUUCAGCUGCUUUGAAUCAACAAUGCAGAAGUAGUGUUGCAAUCCCGGUCUGAUCCAUCAGAGUACGCACAAGGCACAAAUAGGGGAGCGAUAUCUGCUUUCGCCAAUGGCUGGCAGGUCUCCUCGUCUUUCACCUUCUUCACCUUUGCUUCAGGAAAUUCUUUUUAAGCAUGCUGUAAAUAUAUUUAUAAUUUUAACCGAGUGACUUGUAUU